rnacentral:lncRNA from 1 species
UUAGGGAGAGAGCCGGGCAUCUGCAUUUCGUCAGUGGAUCCAUUUUGACCUUUUACCUUUUACCUUCUUGGGAGCCUGGGCCGAGUUUUGCUUUUCAAUUUAGAAGAGCAGGAUGGCCACAUUUUUUUUUCUUACAGUGUGGUUUCCUUAGAGUCCAAACCCAAAGUUUUAUUUUUUUACAUCAGUGUACCUGUCUUGAUUUUCCAAAUAACUUACAUUACCUUAAAACAAGGAAAAAAAAAUUUUGGGGCUGUGCCCUUGGCAUGGGAUAGGGACAGAGCCACAGCAAUGACAAUGCCAGAUCCUUAACUUGCUGUGCCACUCUGAGAACUCCCCAAAUAAGAUUUUAUUUAUUGUGCACAUUUCUUCGUAUAGAGGACUCUAAAACAAAUAAAUGUACUGAGUUGAAUUUGAUGAAUCCUGCCUGAUAAGUAUUUGUAACCUAUUUUUCAAAAAAAAGCCUUUUAAAAGCUAGUGAUGAGAGAGGAGUUUCCAUCUCUUUAUUAGAGUUGUUGGAAAUGUGCCAAAGAGAUAACCUGGCGUAUAUUUCCCUCAAAAGUCAUGUUUUAUUCUUUAACAUGAACAUCUUAUACCCUCGGAAUUCGGGGAAUUGUUGAGCUGAAAAACCUGGGGUACAGUGCCCUGUGUUGCCAGCCUCUAGGCAAGACAGCAAAAACUUCGGGGUUUCCCGGGUUCUUCCUUUCGGAAGAGAACCGAGGAGGGGGCGCUGCAAAAGUCUCCAAAAAGCAUUCUUACAGGAUCUCUAAUGGGAGAACCUGCUGACUAACUCGCCACCCCACACUUACCGCUGCAAGCAAACUUGCAGCGCUUCCCUCGCACGCGCGGGGAGCGGGACCUGAGGCCCUGUGCAUGCCGCGGAGCGAACCAUCCGGCCGGCCGGAGAGGGGGGAGGUUCGGACGUGGGGGGCGCGGUAAGCUGGGGCCUCGGUGUCUGCCUGUUGCCUCCACCCUCUUCCGUCCCUGGCGGGGAGUCGCGCGAGCCCGAACCCUCGGUGGGGACUUGAGGGGCGCGGCGCUGGCAAGCCUUCCCCCGGGCCGCGCGGGGGUGGUAGCGGCCCUUUUCAGAGUUUCCCGGGCCGGCGGCCGGCGCAGAGGCGCUGCCUGCGGCCGGGGGCGGGCCGACGCCGCAGCCGCCGCGGCCGCGGGAGGAGGGACAAAGGGGUGGGUCCCCGUGGGGCCGUCACCCAGGCAAAACGCGGCUGACGGGCUGAGAACUGACCUGCCGCCCGGAGUAUCAGGAGGAGCGGGGCUCGGGACUGGUGCGUCCAUGAGAGACCCGCGCCCGAAGAUGCCGGUGCGAGGAGAUCGCGGGUUUCCACCCAGGCGGGAGAUGUCAAGUUGGCUCCAUUGA